UAUGAUUUUCUACUUAAAUGUGAGUUCUUAUUUGCAUUUAAAAAUUUAAUAAAUAAUUUUGGUUAAUUUCUAGUUACUUUACCAUGCUUGAUAUGCUUGUUUUAGUUACUGGUUGAAUGCAUGAGCUUGUUUGGCUAAGUAGAGUAAUAUUUUGCACUAUGCAUAUGGCUAUGGAAAUUAAUGAUAGUUAUUUUACUAGUGAUAGUUUCAUUUAAAUGAAGAACUAAUAAAAAUAUUGUUUGAUAAAUAAAAAUGAGUUAUAACCAGAGAAGUUUGGUUCUAAGUAUUGCAAGAUGCAUAUGUUGUUAAGUUUGAUCCAAGAAUAUGAGUUGUUUGUUUUGCGUGAUGAGUAGUUGCAUGAUUCUUUUUGGGUUAUAUCAUGUUGAUGAUAAAAAGUUUUUAUCAAAGUUAAACUUGAUUAAGUUUAACUUGAAUAUGAUGUUGAUCACAUCAUGGUGCCACUGAAUCGGGUUUUUAAUUCAGUGCGACCACAUUUACCUUAUGGGAAGGUCUUGAUUCGGUCCUUUGUUGUGGCUCUCACCGGUGCCUCCCGUGAGGGAAGGUUAUGGGCGUGCAUACCCUGGCCCGGUAGGCAGACAUAACCUUGUGUGCUUGUUUUUGUUUUUAUGGUACCAUGUCCCCAUUUUGGACCGUUUUGCCACGACGGUGGCCGUUGGUGUCUUUGGUAGACACGGGGCCACCCAAGACCUAGCCCUGAGGGGGAGUUGGUCGGAGCGGCCGGGGAGAGUGCAUGACAAAGGGAGGGUUUUGUCGAAUUGCUUUGGUCUACCCGAAUGGUAAUGCGAGGCCAGGUAUUCCUUAGUGUGGGUAAAGUGCGCUACCUCUGCAGAGUGUAAUUAAUCUAUCAAUAGUCGCGUCCUCGGUUAUGGGCAUAACUCGGAAGUAAGUCACACCAUGGAUCAACUUUUCUAAUAAUCUUGCAAACUAAGUGAGUGCUGUGAUGCUUUGGUUCGUGAAGAAAGCAUGAACACUUGAGGUGUUCAUGAGUGUUUGGUUUCAGUUGUGACCCAGGUAUGGUCACUGUUUGGUUACGAGGUAACCGUCUCGUAAGCGAGUCCGUGGGACUCAUUGCAUGAAACUUUUGUCUUCCUUCGUAGUAGUUUUGCACUGUAUUAAUCUAGUUAAAUAUCAUGAUAUUGUUUGUCAUCGUGCUUAUGUUUGUUGUGGGCUUGCGAGUACAUUAAAUGUACUGACCUGACGUGUUAUGCCAGUUUUCAGGCAAGUCAGUUCGCAUCGGAGUGCAUCUCAUGUCUAGGCUGUGUUCACGUUGGUGUCCCUGUGCUAUGGAGUUCCUCUACGUCGUUCUUUCGCUGUCGCGUAGCUCGUGUGAUCGAGGCCCCGUCAUGUUCAUUAAAUAAUGUACAUACCGUCCAGCAGCACCGUGUGUGCUGCUUGGCCUCGAAUCUCGAUGUAAUAUCAGACUUAUGUAAUUCGCUAGUAUCAAUAAAGCGGUUGUUUUUGUACCA
rnacentral:lncRNA from 1 species